UUCCGGUUGAUCCCGCCGGACCUGACUGCUAUCGGAUUGAUACUAAGCCAUGCGAGUCAUUGCAGCAAUGCAAUGCAGACGGCUCAGUAACGCGUAGUCAACCUAACCUAUGGACGGAAAUAACCUCGGGAAACUGAGAAUAAUGUCCGAUAGAACACUAUACCUGGAAUGGUUUGUGUUCCAAAUGAUUUAUCGCCGUAGGAUGGGACUGCGGCCUAUCAGUUUGUUGGUGAGGUAAUGGCCCACCAAGACUAUUACAGGUACGGGCUCUGAGAGGAGUAGCCCGGAGAUGGGUACUGAGACACGGACCCAGGCCCUAUGGGGCGCAGCAGGCGAGAAAACUUUGCAAUGUGCGAGAGCACGACAAGGUUAAUCCGAGUGGUUUCUGCUAAAGGAACCUCUUGUUAGUCCUAGAACCACUAACGAAUAAGGGGUGGGCAAGUUCUGGUGUCAGCCGCCGCGGUAAAACCAGCACCUCAAGUGGUCAGGAUGAUUAUUGGGCCUAAAGCAUCCGUAGCCGGCUCUGUAAGUUUUCGGUUAAAUCUGUAUGCUCAACAUACAGGCUGCCGGGAAUACUGCAGAGCUAGGGAGUGGGAGAGGUAGACGGUACUCGGGAGGAAGUGGUAAAAUGCUUUGAUCUCUCGAUGACCACCUGUGGCGAAGGCGGUCUACCAGAACAUGUCCGACGGUGAGGGAUGAAAGCUGGGGGAGCAAACCGGAUUAGAUACCCGGGUAGUCCCAGCUGUAAACUAUGCAAACUCAGUGAUGCAUUGGCUUGUGGCCAAUGCAGUAUUGCAGGGAAGCCGUUAAGUUUGCCGCCUGGGAAGUACGUACGCAAGUAUGAAACUUAAAGGAAUUGGCGGGGGGGCACCACAAGGGGUGAAGCCUGCGGUUCAAUUGGAUUCAACGCCGGA
rnacentral:rRNA from 1 species